UGAGUAAUGCAUAGGAAUCUGCCCGAUAGUGGGGGAUAACCUGGGGAAACCCAGGCUAAUACCGCAUACGUCCUACGGGAGAAAGGGGGCUCCGGCUCCCGCUAUUGGAUGAGCCUAUGUCGGAUUAGCUAGUUGGUGAGGUAAUGGCUCACCAAGGCAACGAUCCGUAGCUGGUCUGAGAGGAUGAUCAGCCACAUCGGGACUGAGACACGGCCCGAACUCCUACGGGAGGCAGCAGUGGGGAAUAUUGGACAAUGGGCGAAAGCCUGAUCCAGCCAUGCCGCGUGUGUGAAGAAGGCCUUCGGGUUGUAAAGCACUUUCAGCGAGGAAGAACGCCUAGUGGUUAAUACCCAUUAGGAAAGACAUCACUCGCAGAAGAAGCACCGGCUAACUCCGUGCCAGCAGCCGCGGUAAUACGGAGGGUGCAAGCGUUAAUCGGAAUUACUGGGCGUAAAGCGCGCGUAGGUGGCUUGAUAAGCCGGUUGUGAAAGCCCCGGGCUCAACCUGGGAACGGCAUCCGGAACUGUCAAGCUAGAGUGCAGGAGAGGAAGGUAGAAUUCCCGGUGUAGCGGUGAAAUGCGUAGAGAUCGGGAGGAAUACCAGUGGCGAAGGCGGCCUUCUGGACUGACACUGACACUGAGGUGCGAAAGCGUGGGUAGCAAACAGGAUUAGAUACCCUGGUAGUCCACGCCGUAAACGAUGUCGACCAGCCGUUGGGUGCCUAGCGCACUUUGUGGCGAAGUUAACGCGAUAAGUCGACCGCCUGGGGAGUACGGCCGCAAGGUUAAAACUCAAAUGAAUUGA
rnacentral:rRNA from 1 species